UGUGUGUGUGUGUGUGUGUGUGUGUGUGUGUGUGUGUGUGUGUCUCUCUCUCUCUCUCUCUCUCUCUCACACACACACACACACACACAAAAGCAAACAAAUA